rnacentral:rRNA from 1 species
GUAGUCCUAGCCGUAAACGAUGUAUACUUGGUGUAACCGGACUCAACCCUGGUUGUGCCGAAGCUAACGUGAUAAGUAUACCGCCUGAGGAGUACAGUCGCAAGGCUGAAACUCAAAAGAAUUGACGGGGACCCGCACAAGCAGUGGAGCAUGUGGUUUAAUUCGAUGCAACGCGAAGAACCUUACCCGGGCUUGACAUGUAGUGGACCGCACUGGAAACAGUGCUUUUCUUCGGAACCGCUACACAGGUGCUGCAUGGCUGUCGUCAGCUCGUGCCGUGAGGUGUUGGGUUAAGUCCCGCAACGAGCGCAACCCUUAUCACUAGUUGCCAACAUUUUAGGUGGGAACUCUAGUGAGACUGCCUGGGUUAACCAGGA